rnacentral:lncRNA from 7 species
CUUCUGUGUACCUACGAAUCAUGCUUCACCUGUAUUUUCUUAGCAUUGAAUAGCAGUUAUAUAUACGCUGCAGGAAUUGAUUCACCUUCAUGGCGCUCUGGGGCUCAGUCUGAUGACAUUGUAAUUAAGGUAAAAACUAAAGAGACAACAUGAUCGAUAUGUCUGAAGACUCCAUAUAACUAUAUAAGUAUUAAGUAAAUGUUUGGAUUCAGGACACCUCAACAGUCCUUAAAUAAG